CGCACCGCCGUUUGCCGGGCUCGUUCUCCAGCGCGCGCCUGGCACGCGCAACUGAGCCUUGCCUUCGCGAUCGAGCAACGCUGGAUGCGUUUGCAAAGGCAACGGACAAGCCGAAGAGCGAAGACACGCAGGUCUUGUCGGGGGCCUGUUGCGCUCCGAGGAGGCCAGUGCUUUCCAGAGGGUUACCCCAGCGUGAGCACCCGCACGGGUGAAGCUUCCCAGCCUCCACGUGACCCAACGUACGUGCAAGACGGCGCUAGCCAGCGCUUUGCCGGCGAGCCUCUCUUCAAGCGACGCGGCCACUGCAACUUCACCGGAACGCUGUCGAGCCGGUUAUGUCCUUCUCACAGCUGCAACUAGCUUAACAAUGUGUUCUCCUGCAAAAGUUAUCCAGAAACGCAGCUUGCGUUGGAGCCCGAAGUAGCUGUGUGACCAGGCGUACGCGACAAUGCACAGCUGCACGCCGGCAUCGUUCGCGCCGGCGCGGCAUGUUGGCACUAGCGUCGGUGAUCUAUGGGGCAGAAAAUAAAGCAGGGUUCAAGCAACGGUGGCGAGCGCUGCUUCAGGCGGAGACCUGCUUCGAGGCCUUUUUCGGGCCAUGCUGAUUGUGACAUCUGUUUCCUUACCUUUUUUUAUCAUGCCAUGUUUUGUAUCCAGGGAUCUUCGUCAUAAGAAUCAUCGAAGUUGACGCAGUCCCAACACCGCACAAAUUAAUUUGGUGAAAUUAUUUUGGGAGCCUGAGAAAUACUUCCGUCAAUACGAACGCUUCUGUGCUGAAAUAGAUGUUUGAAGUGUCCGUAGCAUCACGCGAAAGAAAGUCAUGUGCAUUUAGGGCGGACUUCGCGUAGCGCCAUAUGUGCUUGAAGUAGUAUUUGUUAUUUCCGCGAUGGGUUUUCUGUACUAUUUGGCUCAUUUAAACCACGCUUUUUACGGUGUUGUCGCUAUAGGCUUGCAGCGCAUGUACCAAGCCUAAAACUGAUGGCAUAUCUAACGCUAAAUUUUUGGGCGAAACUAUAUUCUGCUGUCAAUUGAUUUGUUGUUGUUUCUUGACGAUUUUUAUGCGUUUUAUAUUUUCAGUUUUCACUCAUGGAUUCAGUCUAUUGGUUUGCACAUUGUAUUUGCGAAUGUGUACUAUACUUGUUCGCAAGAAUUCCUUCUUGGUGUGUUUGCUGUCUAGUUUUCGGUUCAUACCCUAUAUGUGUUUAAGCGGUGCCAUUGUCCGCAACAAACUGGAAUCUGUUUUCGGCGAGUGCCUUUUACCGGGUAGCGGAGGAGAGCACACGGCGGCAACCGUUCUCCGUCAAUGCGAUACGCCAGCGUUUACAUGCAUUGUGCAGUACAUUUGCCUGUCUCGAUCUAUCAUGACCUUUUACACUACUGCUAAUCGCCUUUCUGGUGCAUUGCCGCCGUGUAAUUGGAUGCGAUGUACUAGACGUAUUGCAAUACGCCACUUGUCGCAUUAAUGUAAGCGCAGCAUUUAGUAGCCUUCGUAAGUGCUCUCGUACUGAACGAAUUGGGAGCUGACAAUUAAGGAACAUAAAAAACUGGACAAUAACAUACACCUCCUUUUUUCCUUCGAUACGCCUGCAUUUUGUAUUGCGCGCAUACUUGCCUCACGCUCUUCUCCAGCUGUCUUGUUCUUAAGCUAUACUGUAUAAAUCGGUGGUCUCGAAACCCACGCGCCAGCAACAGUUCUGUCUGCGUGGCUGAGGCCAAUCUCGAAGGCUCUGCUUUUGCUGACUGCAUGCGCCAGAAGCAAUUAAUACGUCACACGGGACUUGUUUUGGAUACCACCUAUUGAGACGAGCCUUGCAAGCGCAUUGAAGUAUAGAGUGAUGCCGUAAAUUGUGGCUGCGCUUACAGCUAAAAAGAAGUAAAGAAAGCUAUCGUACCGUGCGAUUCCAGUCACUCAGGCAUUUCCGCGUAAGACAGCCGUAAGUGUACUGCGUCGGACUGUUCUUGAAUAGCACUAAUUGGUUCAACUGAAAAAUGUUGCGAGCGACCUGAGGUGCAGCAGGCACUUCUUACCAAAUCAUCGAUUUGUGAUCGUCAGUUAACUUCCAUAUUUACUUUACGGUUUGUCAGUGCGAAUGCACCUUCGAAGAACCCUGAAGAGAAAAAUCAUUUCACUUGUAUUAGUAAAUUGACUUUAUACAAUGCCGAAAAAGCCACUCUUACCAGUACAACAGGCUUGGCAAGCUAGAAAAGUCGCAAAGCACGUACGAUAGCUGGAGAUGCCAUCAUGAAGUUUUGCGCACCACCUGUUCGGGACAUCAUAAAUUUUGACAGCCUGUGCUAGUGCCCAGUUGUUUUGUUUUUUUCGGUAAAGAACGGAGUACAUCGUAUUCUAAAAGAGGUACAGACUGAACCGACAAGUUUGGUUACUUCCUUGCUCUCUCGUCGUAUCCCUGCAAAUGUCAGUCGAUUGUUUUGAUGUCGCAUUGGAAUUUGCGCCACGCUCACGAAACACGAAACAGAAAAGGAAAAGUGCGUGGGGCACGCGCUGUCCUUUUCUGCCGUUUCCAGUUUUGUGAGUGCUGAACAAAUUACAAGAUGAACGCUUACCAGCUCGUUCAGUUUUCUAAUCUUAAUUUCGAUAACAUUCCCAACCCCUUCGUCAAAUUCUUCACCGUGCACUAUUGCCUCUACCUUUUCUUUAGCCUUUCUAUUUAGAACACAAUCUCCGUAAUUUCAGGCGAAGCAGCUGCUGCUGGAGAGGGCAGUGGCCGUCGACGCAAGAAGAUCGACAAGUCCAAAGCGUGGAGAGGAGGAACAGAAAGGAAGAAAGGUGCUUCCUCUGCGGAUGGACGUAAAAGCACCGCUCGUAAAGAAGGCACACAGAGUGGCGUUCCGUAUUGCUGCCACCUGUGUGCCCAUGUGUCGGAGAGCUCGGGGAAAUUGAAAAAGCACCGAGCCACACACACCGCCGGGACAGUGUUGCAGUGUCCUUCGUGUACCGCGACAUUUGCGUCUGUCCAGACCUACAAUCGUCACGUGCGCGGACACAGUGGCGUAAACCUGUACGAGUGUAGCGUGUGCACAUUUGCAACCGCCUACAAGACGUCACUAGAGUAUCACAUGAAGACGCACACGGGUGACAAGCCUUUCACCUGCGCGAUGUGCCCGUACGCCGCUAGGAGCAGAAAUCACCUCAAAAAGCAUGUGCGCACGCACACGGGCCACAGGCCGUACAAGUGCUCGAAGUGCCCGUAUGCUGCCUCGCAGAGCAGCCACCUGAAGCGGCACAUGAGCCGGCACACUUGAACAUGAUUUUGUUACUUUUUAUUCAACUUGAAAGAUUUCUUCUUAAAUUGUAAUGUGUUAGUGGUCUUGCUUUGCCUAUUCCAUCAUUUCAGGAUGCUAAUUACAUAGUGCAGCAAUUUGAUUGUUUA